rnacentral:tRNA from 1 species
GGAGAAAUGGCCGAGUGGCUGAAGGCACACCCCUGCUAAGGGUGCAUACGGAAAACCCGUAUCGAGGGUUCGAAUCCCUCUUUCUCCGCCA